GAUGAACGCUGGCGGCGUGCCUAAUACAUGCAAGUCGAGCGAACAGACGAGGAGCUUGCUCCUCUUACGUUAGCGGCGGACGGGUGAGUAACACGUGGAUAACCUGCCUAUGAGACUGGGAUAACUUCGGGAAACCGGAGCUAGUACCGGAUAAUAGAUUGAACGUAAGGGUUCAAUAGUGAAAGACGGAUUUGCUGUCACUUAUAGAUGGAUGCGCGCCGGUUUAGCUAGUGGGUAGGGUAACGGCUUACCAAGGCAACGAUGCGUAGCCGACCUGAGAGGGUGAUCAGCCACACUGGAACUGAGACACGGUCCAGACUCCUACGGGAGGCAGCAGUAGGGAAUAUUACGCAAUGGGCGAAAGCCUGACGGAGCCACGCCGCGUGAGUGAUGAAGGUCUUCGGAUCGUAAAACUCUGUUAUUAGGGAGGAAGAAAUGUGUAAGUAACUAUUCACGUCUUGACGGUACCUACUCAGAAAGCAACGGCUAACUACGUG
rnacentral:rRNA from 1 species